AACGAACGCUGGCGGCGUGCCUAACACAUGCAAGUCGAACGUGAUUGGAAGCUUGCUUCCAUGAAAGUGGCGCACGGGUGAGUAAUGCGUAGAUAAUCUGCCUGAUGGUUUGGGAUAACACUUCGAAAGGGGUGCUAAUACCGGAUAAGCCCACGGGGUCUUAGGACUUUGCAGGAAAAGGAGGGGACCUUCGGGCCUUCCGCCAUCAGAUGAGUCUGCGUACCAUUAGCUAGUUGGUAGGGUAAAGGCCUACCAAGGCGACGAUGGUUAAGUCGGCUAAGAGGAAGAUCAGCCAACCUUGAACUGAGACACGGUCCAGACUCCGACGGGAGGCAGCAGUUGGGAAUUUUGCGAAAUGGGGGAAACCCUGACGCAGCAACGCCGCGUGAGUGAUGAAGGCCCUUGGGUCGUAAAGCUCUGACAGAGGGAAAGAAAUGUGGGUGGCCAAUAUCCAUUCCACUUGACGGUACCCUCAAAGGAAGCACCGGCUAACUCCGUGCCAACCGCCGCCGUAACAC
rnacentral:rRNA from 1 species